CACAUGACUCUCGGCAACGGAUAUCUUGGCUCUCGCAUCGAUGAAGAACGUAGCAAAAUGCGAUACCUGAUGUGAAUUGCAGAAUCCCGUGAACCAUCGAGUUUUUGAACGCAAGUUGCGCCUGAGGCCUUUUGGUUGAGGGCACGUCUGCCUGGGCGUCACGC
rnacentral:rRNA from 1 species